rnacentral:rRNA from 1 species
CCUACGGGUGGCAGCAGUGAGGAAUAUUGGUCAAUGGGCGAGAGCCUGAACCAGCCAAGUCGCGUGAGGGAGUACUGCCCUAUGGGUUGUAAACCUCUUUUGUCGGGGAGCAAAAGCCGGACGUGUCCGGCUGUGAGAGUACCCGAAGAAAAAGCAUCGGCUAAGUCCGUGCCAGCAGCCGCGGUCAUACGGAGGAUGCGAGCGUUAUCCGGAUUUAUUGGGUUUAAAGGGUGCGCAGGCGGAUUUUUAAGUCAGCGGUAAAAUCGUGGGGCUCACCCCCAUCCAGCCGUUGAAACUGGGGAUCUAGAGUGUGCGAGAGGUAUGCGGAAUGCGUGGUGUAGCGGUGAAAUGCAUAGAUAUCACGCAGAACCCCGAUUGCGAAGGCAGCAUACCGGUGCACAACUGACGCUCAGGCACGAAAGCGUGGGUAUCGAACAGGAUUAGAUACCCCGGUAGUC